CCUACGGGGGGCUGCAGUCGAGAAUCUUUCGCAAUGGGCGCAAGCCUGACGAAGCGACGCCGCGUGUAGGAUGAAGGCCUUCGGGUUGUAAACUACUGUCUUUGGGGAGCUAGUACCCAAGGAGGAAGCCACGGCUAACUCUGUGCCAGCAGCCGCGGUAAUACAGAGGUGGCGAGCGUUGUUCGGAUUUACUGGGCGUAAAGGGUGCGUAGGCGGUUCUGUGUGUCGGAUGUGAAAUCUCACUGAAAACGGUGAAACGGCAUUCGAAACUACAGGGCUAGAGUGCAGGAGAGGAUGGCGGAAUUCACGGUGUAGCGGUGAAAUGCGUUGAUAUCGUGAGGAACGCCGGUGGCGAAGGCGGCCAUCUGGACUGCACUGACGCUGAGGCACGAAAGCUAGGGGAGCAAACAGGAUUAGAUACCCUUGUAGUC
rnacentral:rRNA from 1 species